AGGAAGCGGCGCCGCGGGCGCGUCACGGCGCCGGAACCGCCGGGCCCGACGGGGACUGUGGUCCGCGGGCGCGGCGCUCGCCGGGGGCCGCUCCGGGCGGUGCUGCCGCUGCGCGACCCCGCGGGGCUCGGUUCUCGCUUGAACCUAGCAGGAGCUGUAAGCAGAGUCACGUAGCUACGUGUUCGAGGGAUAACGACUCCAUCACCUCCCUGGGCCGUUCCAAUGUCUAAUUACUGUUCCUGUGAAGAAAUUCUUCCCAAUGUCCAACCUAAACCUGCCCUGGAGCAGCUUGAGGCCAUGUCCUCUCAGCCUGUCACUUGUUCCCUGGGAGAAGAACCUGAUCCUCACCCAGCUACACCCUCCUUUCAGCAGUGAUCAACACUCCCAUCCAACUUCGUGUCGUCCAUGAACUUCCUAAGGGUGCCCUCACUGCUGUCAUCCAGAUCAUCAAUAAAGACCUCAAAAAGGACUGGGCCUAGUACUCAUUCCUGGGAAACACCACUAGUGACUGGUCCCAACUGGAAGUGGCACCAUUCGCCACCGUGCUCCAGGCCCAGACAUCCAGACAAUUUUUAACCCAGCACCUGUCCAAGCCAUGGGCUGCCAGCUUCUCCAGGAGGCUGCUGUGGGAGGCAGUGCCAAAGGCUUGCUGAAGUCCAGGCAGACUGCACGGCCCUUCCUUCACCCACUAAGCAGGUCAUCUGGUCAUAAAAGGAGAUCAGUACCAUAGUUCAAGCUCAUCCAAUAAACAGGUGAGUCCUAAUCAAGGUAUGGCAGAAUUCCAUUAGUCACUGGAGUGUAGAUGAAGUGUAAAAAAAAGCCCUCAGUUCAAGAAAGGCACUAAUAGGAACAGCAAAGGGGAAUGACGACCGUUACGCAUAUGCACUAAGUUAAAAAAUCUUUACGUAUACAUUAAAAAAGCCAGGAAACACUUGUUUACCAACACCUACAUUUUAAAGACAAAACCAGAUUAUAUUGCUACUUCAUUCCCACUCUCAUUUUGAAUUUCUCAAAUUAUAGACAUCCUUACUUCUAGCUUUCAAAGAUCCUUUUUCCCCCUUUAGUUCAAAGGUGAGACUGGUUAGAUAAAAAGACAACUGUGUGAAAAUCUGUUUUCAAUGAAGCUCUUCUCAAUGUACACUAAAUUGUAGAAAAUUCUGCAUCUUAAUUGCUUAAGUACUAGGUUUAAACAAACAACAGAGUUUAAAACACGUUGGUAGAAAUAAGAGCCUGUUAUUUUGGCACUAACUGGAAUCAACAGGUCCAAGUCCUACCAACAAUAAUCUUAUGAGGCAGUCCUGCCCUGAAUGCCACCUAACCACAAGUCAUUAACAUGAGCUUUGCUCCUUAGAUUUGCACUCUGCUACCCAAUAUAAUAAUAUUUUCGAUGCGUAUCUCUAAAAACUCUGGCAGGUGCCUCUGGAAUUCAUUACUGUAGAUAACCAUCAUGUGACACUCCUUUAAAAAAAAGUCACUUAUUACCUGUUUCCAGUAAAUAAGUCUUUCACUUAUUUCACUAGAAGGUGGAUACUUCAAUGCUCAUUCUACACUUUGUCUCACUUCAUUUGAUAGGUUGAUAGGUCCUGCUUUCAACUCCUAGUUUUAAGAUCAAUGCAUUGGUUUAAUGUGCAAAGAACAGUACUCUCCUUUACUAUAGUGAUCUAAAUGUAUGAAUUUUCCAUGUGUAUAUACUGCAGAACUUUAUACAGAAGAAGUUAAAUGAAGUCAUUAUUGGGAAAAAAAUUACACAAAGUAUGUACAGUUAAAUUCCAGAAGGAAAGAACAGUGUAAGAUUCUUAUCUGUAAAAUCCAUUAAUUUCAAAGUUUGCUAUUACAGUAGUGCUAAAAGUCUACUUUCUUCAGUUUCCACUGCUAAUCUAAACUAUCUGAGCACAGGCGUAUUUAAACCAAAUUAUUACAUGCCACAGUUUACACCAUUAAUUUAAAAUCAAUUAAAACUAAUUCUGCAAUAUCGGCAAAACCACAGACAGGCCACAUUCUGGAUCAAACAUACCACUUGAAGUGAACUUAUUUUGAGUGCAGCUUAAAGGUGGUUAGCAAAAAGAAAUCUAAAUGCUCUUAACAAUAGUGUUACAGAGAUACCCACCCCCAUUUCAGUAUUCUAGGCAACCACUAUAAGCAUUAGUAGGGUGAGUUUAGGUGUUUAAAAUCAGUAACCACACACUUUGUCAGUGACCACAGACAGUUUAUCCAGGGUUCUGUAGUAAAACCUCCCAAAAGCUGUCAGAUAGGAAAUCCUAAGAAGCUACCCAAAUUCAGGUGCAGAAGACCACAAAUGGAGCAGAAGAAAGCAGUACCGGGGCAGCAGGUGCACAGUGAGGGUUUGUAGGAUGUCCCAGCCCAGCAGGAACUCACCACGAUGCAUGUCCUGAGACUGACCCUCGCAAUGCAGGAGAAAACCCAACUGUCAUUAUGUUGUUUUAAAA